AGCGGCGCUCUGCGCAGCUCCAUGGUGCUCUGCGGGGACUCGGGUGGGUCCGGAGCUCCAUCGACCGCUAUGGCCCCGGGUGCAGUUCCUCACUUUGGCCACACGGAGACAGCAGAGACCGAGGAAAGAGCUUCGGCCAUAGGGCCCAAUUUAAUGCCAAACAAACGAGAGCACGAUAGCACGAAGCACGGCGACACAUCGAUAGAGAGAUGCUGACAGAAGCAGCAAUGCACGGCACAGCUUGCACAAGGGAGGAAAUCAUGGCUCGUUCUCAGUGCUCUGGGCCGUGCUCUGCUUAGACACGCUGCUGCAGGGGGAUUUCCCGGACGAUUUCUGCGGUGUUUCUACUGAGAACUGUGUUAGGUUCUACCCAGGCAUUGCUUGCGAUCUGACGGGAGGAGAAAUCCUCCGUAACACGAAGGCAAACGAUGGAGCGGAUCACGGAUCACGGAAAAACGAAGUUGCUGGAGAUCCGGGCUGGCGUUUAUCAGGAGCACCGCCUGCUGGCUUUUGUGUGCUCAGCAUGAGUCACCGACUGCCGGUAAUCCCUUGGGUGCAGAGCAGGUUAUCGUGCUCCUAAAGGCAAAGGUUCGGCUGGCUGCAAGCAGUGCAGGGACACAAUGCGUUGGGGAGUGCUAUUUCUGCACCGAGAAGCAUAGACCCCAAGCAAAACAUUUGCUUCGUCUCCCUUCCUGCAGAAGAAACCCGACGCGAGAGUGGCUGCGUGCGUGCAGCUCAGGUGCUGAGGCUCCAUGGGGGCAGAGCACGGAUCGCUUCCCUGCUGAUGCUGCUGAUGCUGAUGAUGAUACGGGGAAAGGGGGGGGGUUGGUGCGAGGACUACAAACCCCGGCAGCUCCCACGCUCCGCCCUUCC